GAUGAAGAACGUAGCGAAAUGCGAUACGUAAUGUGAAUUGCAGAAUUCAGUGAAUCAUCGAAUCUUUGAACGCACAUUGCACUCUCUGGUAUUCCGGAGAGUAUGCUUGUUUGAGUAUCAGUAAACACCUCAAAUAUCUUGUUUCUUGUGAAUAAGAGAAUUGGACUUGAGCAAUCCCAACUCUUGCAAAAGAGGCGGGUUGCUUGAAAUGCAGGUGCAGCUGGACAUUCUUCUGAGCUAAAAGCAUAUUUAUUUAGUCCCGUAAAACGGAUUAUUACUUUUGCUGCAGCUAACAUAAAGGUUGAAUGGCCAAUAUGGCUGACUGAUGCAGGAUUAACAGAGAAUUUAUUCUUUGUAAACUCGAUCUCAAAUCAAGUAAGACUACCCGCUGAACUUAAGCAUAUCAAUAAGCGGAGGA
rnacentral:misc_RNA from 1 species